rnacentral:rRNA from 1 species
AUACGAAGGGUGCGAGCGUUAAUGGGAAUUACUGGGCGUAAAGCGCGCGUAGGCGGUUGGAUAAGUCGGAUGUGAAAGCCCCGGGCUCAACCUGGGAAUUGCAUUCGAAACUGUCCGGCUAGAGUAUGGUAGAGGGAAGCGGAAUUCCACAUGUAGCGGUGAAAUGCGUAGAUAUGUGGAGGAACACCAGUGGCGAAGGCGGCUUCCUGGACCAAUACUGACGCUGAGGUGCGAAAGCGUGGGGAGCAAACAGGAUUAGAAACCCCAGUAGUCC